UACGGGGGGGGCAAGCGUUGUUCGGGAUUACUGGGCGUAAAGGGCUCGUAGGUGGCCAACUAAGUCAGACGUGAAAUCCCUCGGCUUAACCGGGGAACUGCGUCUGAUACUGGAUGGCUUGAGAUUGGGAGAGGGAUGCGGAAUUCCAGGUGUAGCGGUGAAAUGCGUAGAUAUCUGGAGGAACACCGGUGGCGAAGGCGGCAUCCUGGACCAACACUGACACUGAGGAGCGAAAGCCAGGGGAGCAAACGGG
rnacentral:rRNA from 1 species